AGACGGAAUCCCCGCCCAACCCGAUCCCAGCUUGGCUGCGUUGUUUGGGGACACAGUCCGAAGAUGGCGACGGCCCAGCUGUACUGCGUCUGCCGGCAGCCGUACGAUGUGAGCCGGUUUAUGAUCGAAUGCGAUAUUUGCAAGGACUGGUUUCACGGCAGCUGUGUUGAGGUAGAAGAGCACCAUGCUGUGGACAUUGACGUUUACCACUGUCCCAACUGUGACGUCCACCAUGGAUCAUCUCUGAUGAAGAAGCGAAGAAACUGGCACAGACACGACUACACCGAGCCAGAUGACGGCAGUAAGCCAGUGCAGGCUGGCACCUCUGUGUUUGUGCGGGAGCUGCAGGCCAGGACCUUCCCCAAUGGAGAUGAGAUCUUGCAGCCAAUGCAGGGCAGUCAGGUCACCCAGAGGUAUCUGGAAAGGCAUGGCUUCCGCUAUCCCAUCGCUGUACACAAAAUGGAAGGGCUCGGGCUCUGCUUACCUCCACCGGAUUUCUCUGUCAAGGAUGUCGAGCACUAUGUCGGAGGCGACAAAGUGAUUGAUGUCAUCGAUGUGGCCAGGCAAGCAGACAGCAAGAUGAAACUGAGUGCAUUUGUGAAGUAUUACUACAGCCCUCAGCAGCCCAAAGUCCUCAACGUCAUCAGUCUGGAGUUUUCAGAUACCAAGAUGUCAGAGCUGGUGGUGGUCCCUGAUAUCGCUCAGAAGAUGUCUUGGGUGGAGAACUACUGGCCCGAUGACUCUUACUUUCCCAAGCCCUUUGUGCAGAAGUACUGCUUAAUGGGCGUGAAGGACAGUUAUACCGACUUCCAUAUUGAUUUUGGGGGCACAUCUGUGUGGUACCAUGUCUUAUGGGGGGAGAAGAUUUUUUACUUGAUAAAGCCCACCCCAGCCAACCUUGCACUGUAUGAGGAGUGGAGCACAUCUCCAUCCCAGAGUGAAGUGUUUUUCGGGGAGAAAGUGGACAAGUGCUACAAGUGUGUCGUGCGGCAGGGAACAACACUUCUGAUCCCAACAGGAUGGAUCCAUGCUGUUCUCACCUCUCAGGAUUGCAUGGCUUUCGGAGGAAACUUCCUCCACAACCUCAAUAUAGGCAUGCAACUCAGGUGCUAUGAGAUGGAGCGGCGUCUGAAGACUCCAGACCUCUUUAAGUUUCCUUAUUUUGAGGCCAUUUGUUGGUAUGUAGCAAAUAAUCUGCUGGAGACUCUCAAAGAAUCCCGAGAAGAUAACUGCCUGCCUCCAGAAUACCUGAUCAAGGGAGUGAAAGCUUUGAUUACUGCACUGAGGAACUGGCUAAAGAGAGAGGUCACAGAGCCGGCCAGUGAGGUCCCUGACCAUAUCAGACCCAACCAUCUCAUUAAAAUGCUCACCAAGGAAAUCCAGUACCUUGAGGAUUAUCAGAAUGGGAACUGUGGAAGCAAGCUAAUGAAAUCUCAAGGAAUAUCUGCGUGUCCUUCCACGAGGUUGGCACACGAGAGAGGUUCUCAUGCACGCAGGACAGCCAGACGUCUUCGUGACCAGCACCACAAUCAUCAUCAUCACUCUCACAGCCCUGAAGCUCCCUCAAACCUCGACAUCUUCGAGCAGCACACCCAGGAAGUCUUAAAAAGACUUGAAAUAGGUCCUUAUGAGGAGGUCAAUGGCAAGUUCAACAAGGUCUCCACGGCCUCAGCUGCAGUGGUGGAGCAGAGCUUGGACAACAACCUGCAUCUGGUGCUGUGCAAUGGACGUAUAGUCAGAGAUAACAGGCAGCAUGCUGGAGAAAAAAGACCAAGGAUAAAAGAAGACGAAGUCUCCAGAUAUGUGAAGAUUGAGUUACUCAAGAUUAAACUAGUAUCUAAAGCGGAAGAACAAGAAGUGGAUAUUGAAAUGAAAGAUGGAGAUCAGCAUCAUGUAGCCUUUGCAGAUCUUAAUAAGCUAGAGAGUUCAGAUCUCCGAAACAGAGAAUCAGUACUUUCAGACAUCUCAUCGGACUCUGAAUCAGAUGAGGACUACACUACACAGAAAAAGAACUGCUCUGAGGGAGAAUCUGCAAGCUCUUCAGAGGAAGAGGAAGAUGAAAAGAUUAAGACGAGCGGAGAUGACCAAAGUAAAACCAAAAGUUUCUCCAGCUGCACAACAGAUACGCACCAAUCCAGGGAAAAGCUUGGCCCUUUUGAAAAAUGUUGUAAAAGUGAAUAUGCUACCUCGCCAAGCACAGAAGAGGAUGCUAUCCAAGGAAUGCUGUCUAUGGCAGGGCUGUUGUAUUCUCACCCAUCAGAAGAUCCCAGCAGUUCCCAAGAAUCCUGGUGGUCUGGAACCAACCAUCCCUCCCCUGACUACAGUAGAAAGGAGGUUGCAUCAGGAGAGGAGAACCAGGAUUCAGACAGCGAUUCAUCACAGGAGGGCUUUCGGGAGCAUGAUUCAGAAGGAGGAUGUCAUGCCAAACUCAAGCAUAGGAUCCAGGAACACAAGAACUUCAUGGACAGCCAGGGCAGCGGCAGCAACAGCAGCAGUGAAGCUUGGAGCAGUCGCACACAAUCCCCAACCCACGGGGAAAGUCCCACUUUGGGCUACCAAUACUGUGAACCAACCCUAUCGCCACCUCUGCACCCAUCCAAGAGGCCUGCUUCAAAUCCCCCACCAAUCAGCAAUCAGGCAACCAAAGGUAAACGUCCUAAGAAAGGUAUGGCCACAGCGAAGCAGCGAUUGGGCAAGAUUCUCAAAUUGAGCAGACACAAACCUUUCUUUGUGUAGUUCCAAUGAUGGCAGUCGUGCUCGCAGAAGUUUUGGGAUGCUGAGCGUGCAUGUUAAAGCAACUCCAACAGAAUCUACAAUGCUCUUCGAGCAAUUACACACAUUCCAUAAGCAUCCGGGAACGUCUAUGACUGAUUUCAUUAACUCAAAUGACUCGCUGAGGUACAAGUACAGCGGCUCAGGGCUCACAUAUGGACUGUUUUUCUGAUGGACAGCUUUGAUACAAACUAUUCAAAGGGCUUCAGUCAACCCAAAGGUACACAAAUUGAGCAGGUCAUUACAACCAGCACAGUAUUGUUACUGUAUGUCAUCUUCUGAGGUUUAUUGUGGACUAAGAUACUCGUGCAUUGUGGUUUGAUCCAUUUCAGAGACAAAAACCACAAUGCCAUUAAUGUAGCACCUGUUGCAUUUCUCCUUGAAAAGAUUUUCAUUUAUGUUGCUUUGUAUGACUAGGAUUUGGGCCAAAGUGCACAUGUAUUGCAUUCAGAACUUUGAUUUGUUUGGGGGAUUGGAGGAGCUUCUGUAUGUCAAAAAAAAAAUGCUGUACUGCAUUAAAGUGUCCUGCAUUAGCUAUGUCACACUACACUGUUUGAGUUUUUUAUUAGUAUUGUUUUAACCCAAUAAAUAUCUAAAUGUGCUUGAUAAAAGGCAAAAACUUUGCUGGCCUGCAGGCAGGGUUUGUACCAUGUACCAGUACUUGUACAGUAUUUAUUUGGCAUUCUCUGGUGUGUUUUAAAUUUUCUGAUCAAUUUGCAAUCAGUUACGUGUUUGUUUAUGGAGUGUCCUCUGACAUUUUCAACGCAUUCAAACGUCUUCAAUUUUGCCAUGGUUGUAUAAUUUUGUUGAAUAUUUUGUGACACUGAAAUCCACCGCUAAGGCUUUUGAAAUUGGGAUUUUUCCAUUGUACAAUGUGGCCUGUACAUAUUAAAAGUUCUACGAGUGAA